GAAUGAAAUUGCAUUACUGGUGGGGAAACAGAGAGAACUGGAAAUCACCAUGGAAGAAACAUCAGAUUACAUUCUGCACAUUGUGUACAAACAGCAAGGAAGCAUGCUGCAAAUCCAGAGAAGGGCACCCACCAAAUCCUGAAUGUGUCCCUGGAACUUGGGAGUUGCAGGGUGUGGUUAUGGACACAGUCUUCUGUAGUAGUCUGCACGGGGUGGAUUGUCCCUCCUCUCUUCAUCUUUGCAUCUUUAGGAGUUACGACUGAAGAAGAACAAUCCAUUCCUGAAACUAGAUGGGAAUGCCUGUAACCAUCCUGGAAUCUUUAAAAGACCAAGGACCAGGAUUGAAACAGGAGCAAAUGCCUAUUCUAGUUUCUGAAAUGAAGACAUCUGCAGCGUGACGGAAGUUACUGAACUAACUAAUAAAGUAGAAAUUGGGGAAUCAGAAGCUUCCAUGAAUGUUGUGAUGACUAUUCUUGGUUGUCAAUCUGACACACCUGUGAAGAAGGAACUGAAAAUGAAGAUUUGCCACCAUCAGACUGGUUUUGGUUUCCCAUCCAGCAGUCUCUCUUUUAGCCUUGGCAUCUGAGAAAUGAGAGAAGAAAUAAUUGUAUCAAGAAAG
rnacentral:lncRNA from 1 species